GCCUGCGGGGAUAGCACGUUUGAAUGCUCGAAUUCUCAAUGAUUCAAAGAAGUUAAGCAACUUUGCUCGAAGAUGUUAUUAGGAUAGGUGACCAUCUGGGCAAUCGAGUACUGCAGGCU
rnacentral:rRNA from 1 species